rnacentral:rRNA from 1 species
AUGGUGGAGCCUAGAGUUUACGAUCAGUUGGGAGCCUCUGCGCCGCGCUCCGGCGCACACCUGUCUAGCGACACCAAAGCCGUCCUCUGCCUUGGGGCAGCCACUGCUGUGGGCUGGGCAGCGUGGAGGUACUACCAACGCCGCGCGUGCCUCCGGAAGUUUGGCCGGGACAUGACGGCAUUCGCUGGAAAAACCGAUCCGGUGAUCGGCCGCGAUGACGAGAUUGACCGUGUCGUCUCCAUCCUCUGCCGCCGGACCAAGAACUGCGUCGCGCUCGUCGGCGCUGCAGGGGUUGGCAAGACGGCUGUGGCCGAGGCCCUCGCCCAGCGCAUUGCCGCCGGGAUGGUCCCCGAUGUUCUCGCCGGUGCGCGCGUCAUUGAGCUCGACGUCGGCGCAUUGGUGGCCGGGACCAAGUGGCGUGGCUCCUUCGAGAGACGCAUGAAGGACGUGAUAAAGCAGGUGGAGGCCGCGGACGGCAAGGUGAUUCUGUUCAUCGACGAGAUGCACAUGCUUCUUGGCGCCGGGCGGUCCAGGAAGAGUGCCAACGAUGCUGCCAACAUGCUGAAGCCAGCGUUGGCCCGCGGCCGUAUCCGCUGCGUGGGUGCCACAACUUUCGAUGAGUACCGUAAGUUCAUCGAGAAGGAUGCCGCACUAGAGCGGCGGUUCCAAAAGGUGCAGGUCGAGGAGCCGAGCAUGGACACAACCAUUGAGAUUUUGCAGGGGCUAAAGAAACGGCACGAACGGCACCAUGGCUUGGUAAUACAGGACGCAGCUCUUGUUGCUGCUGCACAGUUUGCUGGCCGCUAUAUCACCGGUCGUCAGUUUCCUGACAAGGCAAUUGAUCUAAUUGACGAGGCAUGCGCCACUGCAAGCAAAAAGAUGAGGCAGAUUAACCGCCAAAAGGCGGAAGUGAACAUUACAAAAAGUAGCUCUGCAAAGGCAAUGAAGGAAGCAAUUAUCACCCCAGAUCAUAUCGCACAAGUUGUGAGCCGAUGGACUGGAAUUCCUGUCACCGCACUUAAUCAAGACGAGAAGGAUAAGUUAAUCUGCCUAGCGGACAGACUGCAUGAGCGUGUUGUUGGCCAGGAUGAAGCCGUCAACCUAGUAGCAGAUGCAGUGUUACGUUCUAGAGCUGGCCUUGAUCAUCCUGGCCAGCCCAUAGGCUCUUUCCUCUUCUUGGGCUCAACUGGUGUCGGAAAGACAGAGCUCGCAAAAGCUCUUGCCGAACAGCUAUUUGAUAGUGAGAAGAUGUUGGUUCGCUUUGACAUGUCUGAAUAUGUUGGGAGUAGUUCUGUGUUGCGUCUUGUUGGAGCACCUCCAAGCUAUCGUGGCUAUGAAGAUGGUGGACAACUGACUGAGAAAGUUAGGAGGAACCCGUACAGUGUCAUCCUUUUUGAUGAGGUGGAGAAAGCAGAUCCCUCGGUGUUCAAUAUUUUUCUUCAAAUCCUUGAUGAUGGCAGGUUGACUGAUGGCAGAGGCUAG